CGCGUGUGGCCGCCGGCUAGGUUUAAGGCAGGCAAGCGGCGGAGAAGGGGGGUUGUGGCUACGGCCGGCGAGGAUUGAAGGUAGACAACCGUCGCCGAAGAAGAAGAAGACCAUCUCCGCCGCGGUACGAACACCUACUAGUUCAAUCAACCAUGAAUCAUAAUAAAGUAUCACCUAGUUCAGUCAGCAAACAGGGGACGAAGAGAGAAAAAGUGGAGAUGGUCUUGAAUGUUAGCUUGAUAGUGUCAUAUCUAGAGAAGCCAAACCUGGGAAACCAGCAAAAGGAAGUACUAGGAAGAAAAAUGUCGUUGUAUCCAAUACUCUAGUUUCUGAAGUUUCAAAGGUUUAAAAAUUCAGUGUAGCUAUUAGUACCUUCAGAAAGAACUUAUUCCGAUGAUGAAAAAUAAAUUUGCAGAAACAGAGGAUGUUUUCAUGGAUGAAUUUGAUUAGUACGUAUUGCAUCAGUCGAUGAGAAAAGAAGCUGAGGUUAUCAUAAGCAGUGAGGAAGGUCUAAG